ACUGCACAUCUCUCUGGAAGGGCUUGAUAAGCCAUAAACGUCAGCAGUAUUCUCUAUCUCAGCCCUGUGUGUGUGGCAACUGGAGAGAUGUGCUGCAAAGAUCCACCCAAAAUGGAGGACCAUGACCAAGUGACAACCGACAGAGGCAGGGAGCAUGCUUGCCCCAUUCGUGGAAAAAAAACAUGUUUCUUUUAUUUUUUUUAAACAUUUAUUCAUUAACUAAUCUCU